CUAUACCAAUGCAACUGCAUCCACAGUAGGGGGUGUCAUUGGUAUAACUAGGCUUGGAAGGAUUACAUUUUUACUGGUAAAUAGCAAUAACUGUGAAUGUCACUGUACACACAGCAAGCCAAAGGAAAACAUUUCCAUCAAUAAUCGUUUUACAAAUAGGCAACGUAAGAAAAAUGCUGCUUUAGAAACUGAUUUAAGGAUAUUCCCGUUAUACAUUUUCACACGUGAUGUUGACAAAUUGUGAUUUAACAGUUAGAAAGCUUUCACUUUGGAAAUCAACACCAACCGUCAGUCAAUAUGUCAGCCCCGCUCUGCCCGUAAUUUCCCACCACGCAGAGAACCAAAGGACCAGCCAGUUAUGUGCUGAUGGCCCAUUAAAAGGAAUCCACUCUCCCAACAGCCAUCCCAAAAACUUCUCAGAGUGCGCAGGCAUAGGCAACGGAGACUGCUUGACUAAUGCGGACUGCCCCUAACCCCCAUGUUACAGGAAGGAUCUUCACAGCUGGAAGAAAAUAUAAGAGAAGGGCAGUGAUGUCAUCACUUGGCCUGUUUCCCCCUCCCUCCUCCAACUCAACACCUGGAGAACAAAGACUUUGAAGUAGGGAAGGGUGGUCCCAAGCUGGAAAUGGAGUCCAGUUUGUGUAUUGAGAAUUUAUAACCUGCUCAUACCAUCUGUCAGGGUGAGACAUUGUUUGAUUCAAAUCCUGCUUAGUUUGUAGAACUUAGACAGCAAAUUUAUUUUUGUUUUUUAAAAUUACCAACUCUGAUCUCUAUGGCUGCUAUUUAUAAUAACUACAGAAAAAUAAAUUUGAAGUGAAUAAACCUAUUUUAUGUUUUACCUAAAA